rnacentral:tRNA from 1 species
CGGGAAUAGCUCAGUGGUAGAGCACAACCUUGCCAAGGUUGGGGUCGCGAGUUCGAAUCUCGUUUCCCGCUCCA